rnacentral:rRNA from 1 species
GAUGAACGCUGGCGGCGUGCCUAAUACAUGCAAGUCGAGCGAAAAGACGAGGAGCUUGCUCCUCUCACGUUAGCGGCGGGCGGGUGAAUAACACGUGUAUAACCCACCUAUAAGACUGGUAUAUCUUCGGGAAACCGGAGCUAAUCGCGGAUGAUAUCUUGAACCGUAUUGUUCAAUAGUGAAAUACGGUUUUUGGGUCACUUAUAGAUGGAUCCCGGCCGCAUUAGCUGGUGGGUAAGGUAACGACUUACGAAGGCAAGGAGGCGUAGCCGAACUGAGAGAGUGGUCGGCCACCCUGGAAGUGAGACGCGCACAAUACUCCUACGAGAGGCAGCAGACGGGAACGGGCGGUAAUAGGCGAAAGCAUGCCGCAGCAACGCCGAGUCAGUGAUGAAGGCCCUCGGAUCGUAAAGAUCGGUUAUGAGUGAAGAACAGAUUUCGCCGUAGCUAUGGCCGGAUUGACGGUAACUAAUAAGAAAGCACCGGCUAACUACGUG